CAGUCGCCGCGGUAAUACGUAGGGUGCGAGCGUUAAUCGGAAUUACUGGGCGUAAAGCGGGCGCAGACGGUUACUUAAGCAGGAUGUGAAAUCCCCGGGCUCAACCUGGGAACUGCGUUCUGAACUGGGUAACUAGAGUGUGUCAGAGGGAGGUAGAAUUCCACGUGUAGCAGUGAAAUGCGUAGAGAUGUGGAGGAAUACCGAUGGCGAAGGCAGCCUCCUGGGAUAACACUGACGUUCAUGCCCGAAAGCGUGGGUAGCAAACAGGAUUAGAUACCCCCGUAGUCCCUGUCUCUUAUAA
rnacentral:rRNA from 1 species